rnacentral:snRNA from 1 species
UUGUAAUGUUUAUUUGGAAAUUU